UGAUGUACAAGUGCAACUCUCUGUAACAGCUGACAAACCUAGCAGCACUCAACAGCAACAUCUGCUCCUGCACGCUGCACGGUAGUUAGCUAGCAUCAGGCAUCAGCACUGGAGCGAGGUGUGCUAAUAGUCUCAGGCGUUUGGAGAACCACGGCACAAGGUUGUUACCGAGGCAGACACGGUAGCUAGAUGAAGAAAUGUUCAGUAUCUUGUGUAGUCCGCGCCACCAGAAGAGCUGACAAAAGCGUUAGGAUGAUGAAAAGAGUUUGAAAUCCAUGAUCAAGUGUGCUUAUGCCGCAAUACUAUAUAUGAAUGGUAUAUGAAUUACUUGAUAAGAUUCGGAUCAAGUUAUCUCUGUUCAGUUGUAACGAAGCAAAUCUGUUGGAUGCAUGGCAACCUUACAUUACACGCCGGGUCGCAAGGGUUAGUGCCGGCACGAGAGAGAAGAUCCUCAACAUGGCUCUCCUUGAGAUGAAGGACAGCUAAUGGAAGAGGGAGAAUCCUAAAAAAACUAAAGAAUAGAAGAAAAAAAGGAACAAAAGAAAAACACGGGCUAACCCUAGUGCUCAGGAUCCAAUAUGUUAAAGUACAUAUCACGAUUGGAUGAAGCCAGCCGUGUGAAAAUAUAUAAAGUUUAGGAUAGCUAAAUAUGACGUUUAGGACAAUAUUUAGUCUAAAUUAGUCUAUGAACCGUUUUCCUGCACGGGCUAGUAAUAUUGAGAAACAUAGGUGAUAAAAUUGAUUGCUUUGUACACGUUCAUCUCUCAUUUAUAAAAUGUAUUGUAACGAAGUCUCUAACAUGCAUGUAUGUACUUUUAUUCGAUCGUGAUAGGUUUUACAUAGUAAUUACUGGUCUAUAAAUUUUUCAUCUAUAUUUGUAGUUUAGUUAGCAAUUAUUAAUCGGAACCAGCAUCACACCCACUGGCUAUGUGCAAUGUGCAGUCAAAGUUGGGCAUGUAUGGCCGAUGGGCGCGAUGCUAGGGGUGGCGGGCAUGUUCAUCCCGGAGUUUCUGACCAAGCUCAACGUUCUCAACACGUCAACCUUUGUAGUGUUGUUGAGAUAAUUCUAGGUCACCGACACUUUCACACUACCAACCUCUUCAUUGCCAAUAUAAUCCUCAUGGGCAUCGGCUAGGGCCUUGUUUACUUCCCAAGUUGGGAGUUGUAAAAUUGGCAUUUUGCCAUAAAUGCGACAUUGUAGCGUUUCGUUUGUAUUUGUGAAUUAUUGUCCAAAUAUUGACUAAUUAGGCUCAAAAGAUUCGUCUCGCAAAGUACAACAAGACUGUGCAAUUAGUUUUUGAUUUCGUCUACAUUUAGUACUCCAUGCAUGUACCGCAAGUUUGAUGUGAUGGGGAAUCUUCUUUUUACAUAGUGUCAAAGUUGGGAAUUUGGGGGGAAGUAAACAAGGGCUAGGCUGACCUUGUCAAGCCUACACCACUAGGGGCGGACCCCAACCAAAAACAAUUUUUCAGGCUCGAGUGCUACCCAUAUAGGAUAUAGGGUAGGAAAAUGUAUUGGGUUGAUGCCUGCUGAUGAUGUUUUUGACUUAGGUAGACUGUCAAUGGUGAUAUGGAACAGCCAUGGAGCAAUCAUGUUAAUGUAUUUGUAAAUUUUGUAACUAAUGUAAAAGUAGGAUGGAUAAGCAUAAGAUGAUCAUCAAUUUCGCUUCACGUUUUUCUUUUUAAGAAUCCUCACCUACUGGAUCAACAUGAGCAUAGGAUUGUACUCCUAUAUAUUAUUCCAUCUAAUUUUAAACAUAAUAUUUAGGAUAUAUUAAUUUUUUUUUCAUCAGCUGACACCCUAACCACACCUCACCUUUUGCUCUGCCUCCCCUAUCACCUCCUUCUCCUCACUGGCAUCACCUCAUGUCACCACAACCUUAUCCCACCGUGACCGAACUUGCCACCUGGUGCCUUCUAACUUUUGCGCCGCUAUAUGGCCGGUUCUCGAGCUUGGCAUCAAAUGUCAUUUGGUCUCCAAACUCUUAAAAUGUACAUUCGCAUCAUUGAACUUGCUAAUCGACUCACGUGAGAUCCAAAUCACUGUUAACUGAGUUAAAUCACCUGCGUGGCGUAGCACUGACGUGGACCAUCUUCUCCCUGCCUUCUCUCUGCCUCACAUGUCUCUCCCUUCUCUCGCAAAAAACAUCUCCGGCGGGGCCUAUGGAGAGGCGGCGGCCGACGCAAGGUGCAACGACGAUGUAGCUAACGGGCCGUGGCAGGGGCUUGCCCGGCCGGAGCGGCGCACGACUGGGAUGGGGAGGGGUUCGGCUGGGGCGGCUCAGAUGCAGGGCAUGGCGCCAUGGCUCGAAGACGGUCGGAUUGGGGAGGUGGGUGGUGCCUGGCGUGGAGGCGCGAAGGAGCCGGCAUCCUCGUCUUGCGCCGGUCGAGCCGAGCUCCCAGUGCUCGAGCUCGCGCAUAGGCGCGCAGGCGGCUGCGGGGGCAACCAUGUGCUCCCCGCGUCCAUGGCUGCCACCGCCGUCCGCCUGCGCAAGGCCGCGGCCGCCGCCCACCCCCGCGGAGAUGCUGCUGCCGGGCCGGCCGCUCCAGCCAGGCCGCCCGCCAUCCACCUCACAGGGCAGCUCCUGCCCGGCCGACCGCCGUCCGCCCCCGCGCGGGCCACUCCUACCGACCCGGCCACCGUUCCCUCACCGCACCACUCGCCGGCGACGAUGGGCUCCUGCGCCGCCGGAUCCGUCCUAUUGCUGCACCUGGGCUCACGCGUCUUUGGCUCGAUUUCCUCUCCGGCGACCGCGGCCCAGCGCGCGCAGAUGGGGACGGCAGGCGCAACUCGGCCAGAGCGGACGGCGGUCGUGGCCGCAGCCCGGCAUAGGCAGACGGCGGCGCUGGCCAGCGCAGGCAAGCGACGGCGCUGGCCGAGGCCGGGCGCGGGCGGCCGGGGGUCGCGAGCCGGCGCGGGCAGAUGGCCGCGGUGUCCAUGGUUCAUACUGUGACAGAUUUUUUUUCUUUUUUCUUUAAUAAUUAGAAAACGUGGGUCAUGAUAGCAUUUGAGAAAAGAGAUUAGGCUGACAUGUGGGACCCUUGUGCCAGGUCCACGUCAUCAUCCAUUCAAAUACGUAAUGUCACGGGGAUUUGGACAUCGGUGAUCCGGUUAGCAAGUUUAGGAAGUUCAAUGUACAUGCUAAACUAGUGUACCGCUCGUGCAUUUUACUCAACUUUUAUCUUAGAAUCAUAAUUUUAUCAUUCACUACGGAUGGGACAUCUGAAGCAGCUGAUGAAGAGUGUUUGUGACACGAAUCGCUAUAAAUUAAAGUUUAUUUUGCUAAACUUUUAGGCUACUGAAAUCUAACCAGGUUUUUUUUAUUUUAUCCUUUUUGAGAUAAUAUUCUGUACGCUCCAUAUGCAAUGCUUCAGUGGACGUCCGUUUUAUGUUGUUGAUCAUUUGUUCGAGUGCUAAUUCGUAUGUUACGCUGUUUUUCGACGGUUUUACCCUGAACAAGUGAAGAACCAUGCAUAUGCUCCGACGUGACACGAGACAGCGAGGAACGCGUCACCCUCUUCUUUUAAGCACGGGAAUCUGCGUGUGCGUGGCACAUGAGCGCCUGGCCGAUAGCCGAUACGAGCAGGAACGUGCCUACAUGGCAGCAGCCAGUGCGGUGCCUCCCACUGAUUUUUAUCAGCUCGCAGCCGAGCCCCCUCCACGUCAGCGCGAUCCGGCGUGCCAGAGCCAGACGAGCAGAUUCUCCUCGCCGCGUGGCACGAGGCGGCCGCGCCCGCUAUCCCCUCGCGGAUAAGCCGGCCCCGCUCCGGCGCCCGCCCGCCGCGAGAUCCCUUAAACUUGCGGCGCGCGCGCCACCCACGCCACACAGCUAGCUCCCGCGCCACAAGCUCUCGCUGCCAUGGCACUCGUCUCCGCCUCCUCCUCCUCCACCACCGCCGUCGCGGCGCUCCCCAGGAACGGGCAGCGCGCGUCGUCCUUCCUUGGCGGCAGGACGCUGCUGAGGCAGGCCGAGGCGGCGCGGCCGUCGUUCGCCGUGCGCGCCGCGGCGGACCCCGACAGGCCCAUCUGGUUCCCCGGCAGCACCCCGCCGCCGUGGCUCGAUGGCAGCCUCCCCGGCGACUUCGGCUUCGAUCCCUGGGGCCUUGGUGAGUUCUGAUCACUGGUCAAUCUAUCUUCUUGUGAACAUGUAAAUAAUUUCUGAGCGAUAUAGCUGACACCUGAUGCAUGUGCUUGCGAUUACUCUGUGCAGGAUCUGACCCGGAGAGCUUGCGGUGGAACGUGCAGGCGGAGCUGGUGCACUGCCGGUGGGCGAUGCUCGGCGCGGCGGGCAUCUUCAUCCCGGAGUUCCUGACCAAGAUCGGCAUCCUCAACACGCCCUUCUGGUACACCGCCGGCGAGCAGCAGUACUUCACCGACACCACCACCCUCUUCAUCAUCGAGCUCAUCCUCAUCGGCUGGGCCGAGGGCCGCCGCUGGGCCGACAUCAUCAAGCCCGGGAGCGUCAACACUGACCCCAUCUUCCCCAGCAACAAG
rnacentral:lncRNA from 1 species